rnacentral:rRNA from 1 species
CAGUAGCCGCGGGAAUACAGAGGGUGCAAGCGUUAAUCGGAAUUACUGGGCGUAAAGCGCGCGUAGGUGGUUUGUUAAGUUGGAUGUGAAAUCCCCGGGCUCAACCUGGGAACUGCAUCCAAAACUGGCAAGCUAGAGUAUGGUAGAGGGUGGUGGAAUUUCCUGUGUAGCGGUGAAAUGCGUAGAUAUAGGAAGGAACACCAGUGGCGAAGGCGACCACCUGGACUGAUACUGACACUGAGGUGCGAAAGCGUGGGGAGCAAACAGGAUUAGAGACCCGCGUAGUCCCUGUCUCUUAUAA